UGUCCUUCGAAGUAGCCGGAGUGUGGGGAAUAUAGUAAUCAUCAUUUUUACUGGAUUUUCUUGAUUUUAACUCAGACAGACAAUGUCUGAAAUGAAGACUGAACUCCAGUACGAAUCAACUAUACAGACAACGCAGAAGGACAUUGAAAACCCAAUAAAAGAUGUAAAUAAGAAAAGCAACCACCUUGGAAUUGGAGAAAACAUGGUUGGAAGUAAUGCUGUAGAGGAACCAGCCCUGAAGAAGGUAAAACUUGCAAAAGACAACACAAUUGUAGAAACAGCUAAGGCAGCUAAAGAGUACCUUGGCGAGGAGGAUCUUGAAGAAACAAGAUCAGGUACCAGGGCUGUUAGAGACAGUAGCAAAGCAGCAAUGAAAAGACUAAGCACUAUGGCCAAAACUGCCAAGGAAGGAGAGGCUUUGCUUAAAGAGCUGGGACAUGCUGAUGAAGCAACAGAGUCACAGAGGAGACGUACUAGAUCUCAGACUCGGGGAGAUCCCAUUCCUGCACCUCCUCUAAAGAGAACCCCAAGACAGGAAGCAACUAGGCGAGGACGAAGAGGAAGGCCACGAAAAGAAGAAAGAAGGUCAUCAAGUGAGGACUUUGACCAAAAGGAUGAAAAAGAAGACAGCAAUGACGUGAAAGAACAGGAAACAACAAAAGUGAACAAUAAAGAGAAUGAAGAACAGGAAGAAAAAGGAAUCAAUCCACAGACAGAGGUGUCUACGGGAGAAAAUGAGCCACCUUCAAGUCAAAACUGAUAUUUUAUGUCACUCAGCUCUGAUUUUUCAACAAGCAGCUUCAUUGCCAGGGAAAAAAGGGAUUUGGUCUGCAUGUCAUUGGAAACAAAGACAAGAACUUGACAAAUUUGUUAAAAUUAACAUGAAUGAAAGUUCAAAACUACAGGUUUUACAUUUAAUAUAGUAAAUUACAACUUUUAUUUUAUUUCUUACCCUAGUAUUUUGUAGUGAGUUAACUGAAAACUUUUUAAGAAAUUACAAAGUAAAAAAUAUAAAAAGUUCCAAAAAUAUUACUUGCUAAU
rnacentral:misc_RNA from 1 species